rnacentral:rRNA from 1 species
GGCGGCAUGCCUAACACAUGCAAGUCGAACGAGAAAGUACCUUCGGGUGCGAGUAGAGUGGCGGACGGGUGAGUAACGCGUGGGAAUCUGCCUAGUACUGGGGGAUAACUCGAGGAAACUCGAGCUAAUACCGCAUAAGCCCUAAGGGGGAAAGGCUUCGGCCGCUAUUAGAUGAGCCCGCGUAAGAUUAGCUUGUUGGUAGGGUAAAAGCCUACCAAGGCGACGAUCUUUAGCUGGUCUGAGAGGACGAUCAGCCACACUGGGACUGAGACACGGCCCAAACUCCUACGGGAGGCAGCAGUGGGGAAUAUUGGACAAUGGGCGAAAGCCUGAUCCAGCAAUGCCGCGUGUGUGAAGAAGGCCUGCGGGUUGUAAAGCACUUUCAGUAGGGAAGAUAAUGACGGUACCUACAAAAGAAGCACCGGCUAACUCCGUGCCAGCAGCCGCGGUAAUACGGAGGGUGCGAGCGUUAAUCGGAAUUACUGGGCGUAAAGAGUACGUAGGUGGUUUGGUAAGUCGGAUGUGAAAUCCCUGGGCUCAACCUGGGAAUUGCAUUCGAAACUGCCUCACUACAGUUUAGCAGAGGGAUGCGGAAUUCCGGGUGUAGCGGUGAAAUGCGUACAGAUCCGGAGGAACAUCAAUGGCGAAGGCAGCAUCCUGGGCUAAAACUGACACUGAGGUACGAAAGCGUGGGUAGCAAACAGGAUUAGAUACCCUGGUAGUCCACGCCGUAUACGAUGUCAACUAGCCGUUGGGAGGGUUAAACCUCGACUCCAUGAAGUGGGAAUCGUUAGUAAUUGCGAAUCAGCAUUGUCGCGGUGAAUACGUUCCCGGGCCUUGUACACACCGCCCGUCACACCAUGGGAGUUGGCUGCAAAAGAAGUGGGUAGUUUAACCUUCGGGAGAACGCUCACCACUU